GCGCCUCGGCCAGUGUUUCCAGGCAAUUCAGCGGCGUUUUCACAAGCAUUAGGAAACUCGUUCAUGGCCACUGAAAAGUGAGGGGCGGCUCAAAUCCGAUUUCCCACGGAUUCCUACCUCCAACGUCAGAUAAUGUCCGGAAAAGGUACCACCAAAUAAGCAUGAGAGUAUUAUUUUGGAGAAACAAUUAACCCCUACCCAAAUAUAAAGCGCCCGAGGAAGGUGAGACCGGAAGACAAGCAAGCCCCGUGCAUUCGCUGGUGCGGAAAGUGCGGCGCGGGGCCGGGCCUCGGGUUCGGGCCCCGCACUUCAGCACCGGAGGGGAUGGACAGCGUCUCCGGGCUGGGCUGCCGCCCCCGGGUCCGAACUGCGGCGCCGCGGUCCUCGCUGCCGCCGUCACCAAGGGUAGCCCGACUCCGGGCUCCUCGCAGCUAAGAGGCGGCCUUUCCAGAUGCCCCCGCGCCCCGCUCGGCUUCGUGACCCACGGAAAGUAACCCUCUUUUACUUGCUAUAGCCCCGCGCGGGGCUCUGAGAAGCUCUCCGGUUCCACAGAUUAAACUCAGCUGCAACUUCAAGAAUCAUUUUCCGCGGGGGCCAGAGGAAUACCAGGAGGAGAGUGAGGCCGAAGUUCUCAGAGGCUCCAGAAACCAUGGGCUCUGCAGUCGGGGUCCGAGUGCUCAAAGGCCCCUGCUUCCCCGAAUAAACAGAAUGCUCCCGGGAGGAUUGCACCUGUUUUGGAAAUAGCUUUGUGAGAGGUUCCAGAUCUACUCAGAACCUGACGUUAGAGACACGGGAGGAAUUCUGAGCCCUUUACUUGACAGGUAAGGUUUUAACGGAAAGAUUAGAACAGUAUUGUUUUUCCUUGUGGAUUCAGAAGAUGAACAACUUGAAUUUUAAACGGUUGUUCCUGCAUAAUGAUCUUUAGGAAAAUUUUGACUAAAAUAGUUGGAUAUUUUAUUUCUCUGAAAUCCCUUAUGUGACAAUAAUAUGAAAUAUUCUGUACAUGCUUAUAUAAUUAUAGUAAAAUCUCAGUUGGGUAUUUUUAUUGAUCUAAUAUCUUUUUGAAUGUAAGUCACCCCCCUCAUAAUAUAAUAUGGAAUUUUAUAAGAGUUUUUUUUUUCCCUUGGUCUUAUGAAUGUAGUUUAAAGUGAUCCUGUCUGUGUCACAUAGUAUGCAAGACUCGAAAGUUACUAGCCGUGAUGGUUUAACUAUCUCUUCUACUAUAUUUAUAUGAUUAUAAUUUGCCAAAUUGUGCACAGGAGUGGACACUUGUGGACACACACCUGACCCCCCCCCCCGCUCUACAUAGACCCCAAGUAUACCUACACCUGUGGAAUCUUACCUAAAGAAACACACACAUUUUUAUGCAGCGUUGUCUUUCCAGCCUUUUAAAGCUGAAGACUGCUGGCUCGAAGCAGAUCUGCCAGAAGGCAGAAAAUGAGAUGCUUUAGUGUGCCUUUUUAGGAGAUCUGGAUUUCCAUAGCAUUCUGACUUCUGAGUUCUACAAAUUUCAUUUGUCACUGAAAUCUCAAAAGGGAUGAGGGGGCCAAGAGGUCCUUGAAAAACCAUAACUUUAAAGUGUUAACUAAUGAAAUCUAUUUUCUGUUGAUUUGUACUUCUGGAGUCUCCCCCUGGAGCUUUAAAACUACAAUCUUUCACAGUGACCUUGAUAAGCAUUUUGCUUUACUAAAAAGGCUUCACUGGUUACACAAACGUAUAGCCCAGGCCUGACCUUUCCCUAAGAGCUGCAUCAGUUCCGAUGAGCAUGUUCAGUUAGUGGAGAGUUUGACUUGGGAUGACAGAUUUUUACAAUCAUGCGAAUGCGUGUGGUGCUGUAGCAUAGCCAGCACAAGGAAAGAGUCUGCCCCUUUGAGAUAGCACAGUUCUUCAGGUUUUCCUUUUAGUUUCCUAGGUCAUCUAUAACUGAUUAUUAAAUAUAUAUCCAUACCUACCCUCUUUCUCAGUUUCAUCACAAAAUCCUCUGGGAGAGGCAAGAUGGAAUGGGUUGGUGCGCUCAAGGGCCCUUGUUUCGCGUCAGCUGAGGGCAGCAGUCACACUCUAUGGAGGGAUCAUUCUUAACUGUCACUCUCCACUUAGCAUGAACCUGCUUGCUUAGCAGAAAGGGAGCAGAGGCAUGGAUGUCACUGAGCUCCUUGGGGGCUGUGUUGCCCUAAAUAGGUCAGAAACCAUCAUCUCCAGAGAAGAAAACACACCAUUGAUUAGGCUCAUUCCCAGGAGACCUACAGCAUGCCCCUAACAUAACCUGCUUUUGUUUUUCCAGUCUAAGAGCUGUGAAUGUGAAAUGACCACAUGGACCAAUUAAUCAUGUUUUUAGAGAGUUACAGCCUGUCGUUAGCCUCUUAGUUUGGUUGUCGAUUCAUAGCGCAGACAGCCUUCCCCGCUUGGCAGAGCACAACAUGGAAGCAGAGAACGUUCCAGGAAGCACGCCUGUGGUAUGUGGCUGCAGUUACCGUCUCAGUGGCCAAGGGGCAGGCGUUCUCCAUGGCUGCUUGAAACAGCACAAAGUAAAAGUUACCUUCCCUAAUCCCUGUGGAGAUUUAGUCAUGGAAAUAAAUAAUUAAUUCACAGUUCCAAGCUCAGGCAAGCUCCUGGAAGCUCUCAUCAGCCCUCAUCUUUGGGGAAAUGUCAUUAUAUUGGGACAGAGUUUUGUAAACCAACUUAAUGCUGAUGUAAUUCUAAUCUGUGACUUUCCCCCAACCCUAAAAAAAAAAGGUGUCAGUGGGCUAAUGCAGCCAAGCAUGCUUUUUUGCACAGAAUCACCUGUCUUUAAAGAGAAAUCGUUACUCAAUUCUAGGACAUCCAUAUUCCACUAAAACAGCGAUUUGUCCUGAUGGUUGUUUUGGUCUGUUACCCAAAAAGGAGGCGUGAGGUUUGGGGAGUACCAGAUACAAUAUUUAGCAUCCCCUCCCUGGGAGGUGAGCUUCUUUGGAAGGGAUUAAUGUCAUUGUGUUGCUUACUUUUGAGACUCAGAAGAGAAAAGUGAAAUAGGAUUGCAUAUUCAGGAAAAUAUAAAGUGUGUAUAGGACCAGAGGUUAAUUAGAAUGAGCACUGGAAUUUGUUCACCUGCUUGUCUUCUUUUAAUAAGACGUGGUAUGUAGAGAGUGUGCUGGGGAGUUCUGGCUUGAACCUUAAAGGAUAAAAAUAUUAUAAAAAACCCCUGUCGGUCAUUUUUUGUCUACACAAUCUAAAUAUGAAGUGAAUAGUCUAAUAUAAUAAUGGGCCAUCAGAUCCUAUUGGAUUUGAAUGUCCACAGUUUGCCUUUGAACCACCUUAUCUACAUACUUACAAAAAAUGUAAAAGUAAGAGGUGAUUAUCAUUGGAAUUUAAGAAGGCCGUUAAUAAUUGACUUAUUUUUGCACCAGUUAUAAGAUGUGCAUUCCAGGCAAGCAAGCUUCUUAUUCACCCAGUUCUGUCAAGAAGGCAAAAGCCCCUCGUGAAGAAAAGUGUGUCCUAAGCCAGAAAUGAUUUCUAUAGUUAUCUCACCUCCCCUGAAACCCAUACCCUGAGCCAUAGCAUAGCACUCCAAUGGAGAGAGGCUUCUUGGUUAGUAUUUUCUUCAUGUUCUGCUCAGCAGGAUGAGCUGUACAUGGCAUGCCUGGGAAGACACAGCAUCCUGCAGCACAACAUAUGUUAAGCAUCAUAGUGCAGCAGAGCAGGCGCUGCUGGACAGUCAGGAGAUGGGGCUUCUUAAAAUGCUGGUCAUCAGAUCGUGAGCAAGUCACUCAACCCGCUGCUUAACUUUUCCUCCCUAUCGAGACCCUUUAGGUACCAAUUCAGUAUAUAGGUUCCAAUAUUCAAUAUAUAGGUCCCAAUAGUAUAUUAUGUACCCAGUCCUUUAUAUAGGUCCACACCUUGGUAUCUGUGGGAUAAGUGAAGAGAGACUGCUCUGUGGCAUAUGGAGAGUCUCAAUAUGAUACUUUUGAGAGUGUUUUGGAAACGUAAAUGCUAUAUCUUUGAAUUAUGAUAUGUACUCUCCAAGAGCAGUUAUUCCUUCAUUUGUCAAAAAAGUCCCUUUUGGAGUUCCCGUCGUGGCGCAGUGGUUAACGAAUCCGACUAGGAACCAUGAGGUCGCGGGUUCGGUCCCUGCCCUUGCUCAGUGGGUUAAGCAUCCGGGGUUGCCGUGAGCUGUGGUGUAGGUUGCAGACGCGGCUCGGAUCCCGCGUUGCUGUAGCUCUGGCGUAGGCCGGUGGCUACAGCUCCGAUUCGACCCCUAGCCUGGGAACCUCCAUACUGGGAGCGGCCCAAGAAAUAGCAACAACAAC
rnacentral:lncRNA from 1 species